ACUCAAAUGAAUAGACGGGGACCCGCACAAGCGGUGGAGCAUGUGGUUUAAUUCGAUGCAACGCGAAGAACCUUACCUGGCCUUGACAUCUACGGAACCCUUCAGAGAUGAGGGGGUGCCUUCGGGAACCGUAAGACAGGUGCUGCAUGGCUGUCGUCAGCUCGUGUCGUGAGAUGUUGGGUUAAGUCCCGCAACGAGCGCAACCCUUGUCCUUAGUUGCCAUCAUUAAGUUGGGAACUCUAAGGAGACCGCCGGUGACAAACCGGAGGAAGGUGGGGAUGACGUCAAGUCAUCAUGGCCUUUAUGGCCAGGGCUACACACGUGCUACAAUGGCAGGUACAGAGGGAAGCCAACUCGCGAGAGGGAGCCAAUCCCAGAAAGCCUGUCGUAGUCCGGAUCGGAGUCUGCAACUCGACUCCGUGAAGUCGGAAUCGCUAGUAAUCGCAGAUCAGCAUUGCUGCGGUGAAUACGUUCCCGGGUCUUGCACACACCGCCCGU
rnacentral:rRNA from 1 species